rnacentral:rRNA from 1 species
CGCAAGAUUAAAACUCAAAUGAAUUGACGGGGGCCCGCACAAGCGGUGGAGCAUGUGGUUUAAUUCGAUGCAACGCGAAGAACCUUACCUACUCUUGACAUCCAGAGAACUUUCCAGAGAUGGAUUGGUGCCUUCGGGAACUCUGAGACAGGUGCUGCAUGGCUGUCGUCAGCUCGUGUUGUGAAAUGUUGGGUUAAGUCCCGCAACGAGCGCAACCCUUAUCCUUGUUUGCCAGCGAGUCAUGUCGGGAACUCCAGGGAGACUGCCGGUGAUAAACCGGAGGAAGGUGGGGACGACGUCAAGUCAUCAUGGCCCUUACGAGUAGGGCUACACACGUGCUACAAUGGCGCAUACAGAGGGCGGCCAACUUGCGAGAGUGAGCGAAUCCCAAAAAGUGCGUCGUAGUCCGGAUCGGAGUCUGCAACUCGACUCCGUGAAGUCGGAAUCGCUAGUAAUCGUGGAUCAGAAUGCCACGGUGAAUACGUUCCCGGGCCUUGUACACACCGCCCGUCACACCAUGGGAGUGGGCUGCAAAAGAAGUAGGUAGUUUAACCUUUCGGAGAGCACGCA